rnacentral:rRNA from 1 species
AUUGAACGCUGGCGGCAGGCCUAACACAUGCAAGUCGAGCGGAUGAAGGGAGCUUGCUCCUGGAUUCAGCGGCGGACGGGUGAGUAAUGCCUAGGAAUCUGCCUGGUAGUGGGGGAUAACGUCCGGAAACGGGCGCUAAUACCGCAUACGUCCUGAGGGAGAAAGUGGGGGAUCUUCGGACUUCACGCUAUCAGAUGAGCCUAGGUCGGAUUAGCUAGUUGGUGGGGUAAAGGCCUACCAAGGCGACGAUCCGUAACUGGUCUGAGAGGAUGAUCAGUCACACUGGAACUGAGACACGGUCCAGACUCCUACGGGAGGCAGCAGUGGGGAAUUUUGGACAAUGGGCGAAAGCCUGAUCCAGCCAUGCCGCGUGUGUGAAGAAGGUCUUCGGAUUGUAAAGCACUUUAAGUUGGGAGGAAGGGCAGUAAGUUAAUACCUUGCUGUUUUGACGUUACCAACAGAAUAAGCACCGGCUAACUUCGUG